AUGAAAGAUAUAUUUUUACAUAGUUACCUGGAUCUUCCCCACCACUUGAAGACUUGUUUAUUAUACUUGUGUAUAUAUCCAGAGGACUCCAUGAUCAAUAUUAAACUGUUGAAAUGGAAAUGGAUAGCGGAAGGAUUCAUUGCUACACAAUGGGGAAGUUUGGAUCAAGUAGCACAUAACUGUUUUAAUGAGCUCGUUAAUAGAAAUAUGAUUCAUCCAGUUUAUGGUAAUUAUGGCAGUUCAGUGAAAUAUUGUAGGGUCCAUGAUAUGGUGCUUGACCUUAUUAUAUCUUUAUCGGAUGAGGAGAAUUUUGCGACUGUCUUAAAUGGGCGUAUAUGCAAUUCUUUCCCAAAUAAGAUACGUCGUCUGUCCAUGCAAUCUAGUGGGGAAGGGCAUAAAGGGGCAGUUGAUGCAAUUACAGAAACCACGGUACAUGUUCGCUCACUGACUUUGUUUAUGCUGCAUAAGCAGAUACCCCAUCUCGUGGACUUCCAUGCUUUGAGGGUGUUGGAUCUUGAAGAAUGUUAUUGGUUGGAAAACAAGCAUGUAAAACACAUAGGAAGUUCAUGCCAGCUGAGGUAUUUGAGAAUUGGCGGUUUUAAAAUUACCGAGCUUCCUGGUGAAAUCGGAAAGCUGCAGCACUUGGAGACUCUGGAUUUGAGAGACUGUGAUUCACUUCUAAGACUGCCAUCAACCGUGGCGGAGUUGCGGAAAUUGCUGCGUCUAUUUGUCAGCAGGAACACACAAUUACCUGCAGGUGGGUUCCGGAGUCUGCAGGCCUUGGAGGAGUUAAGCUUCCAGGAAACUGACGACCCAGUGAGAUUUGCGGAGGAAGUAAAUGAGUCGGGCAAAUGCAACCUUCGCUAUCUUCGUACUGGAGGAGAGAUAGCCAAGCGUCUGUUCUGUAGCCCAUGCUGCACAUACCCGUGCCUCCAAGUUCUUAAAAUUGAGUCAAUUUUUAGAGUGGAAAUGGUUCCCAGGGGAAUGGCCUCCCUCAAGAAUCUCGUGAAACUAUGCAUAUGGGUCAAGGAAUUUGAUAAGGAGGGUCUCCAAGUUCUCAUGGGCAUGCCUUCUCUGGCCCAUCUGGAGCUUGGCAUAAUAGGAGGGGCCAAUGAAAAGCUGAUCAUCGGUACUGAUGGAUUCAAACUGCUAAAGGUCUUCUACUUCCACUAUUUACGCCCCCGUUUUGCUGUUGAAGUGAAACCAACGGGUGGACUGCGGCUAACAUUUGCACCAGGUGCUAUGCAAGCACUCCAUUAUCUCCGUCUUGACUUGAACCCAAUGUUUGUGGCGUCCGACUUUUUUGAAGACUUGGGUGUCGAGCAUCUUCCAGGCCUUGCACAGCUCGAGGUCGAAAUCAGUUGUUUCAGAGCAGCUCCACGCAGGGUGAAGGCUCUUGAGUGUUCCGUUGAAAAAGCAAACAACUUGCUCCCCAAGUGCAGAAUCCGCGUCAGCAGAGCCCUUGAAGAUUACAUGUUGAAGGAUGACAAGGAGUGGGAAGAGGUCGUCGCAAACAGAAUCUCGGGCGAAGAGAGGAGACCAGAAGAAUGA
rnacentral:rRNA from 1 species